AAGAAAAAAUUUCUCUUUCUUUUUUUUUCUUUUCCUAUUCCUCCUUCCAGACUAGCGAAAUGCUCCCCUUCACAGUGCUCGUCCGUUGCCGCCUCCUCGCGUCUCAACCCAACGCGCCUCACCUACGUCCAUCGUCUACCGCUCGAUUGUAGGUCUCGGUCGUCUAACCGCGCAAGGUUCCGGUCGUUUCAGCCGCGGGAAGCGUCGUCCGCCUCCAGCCACGUCGAGUUUCUUCGAUUUUUCUUUUCUCUCUUCCGUUUUCGUUCUACGUUUGCUAGUCGCCGACCGUUUCGGUUCUGCCAAGAACGUGGUUUUGGGUGCGUUGUUGCUCAAUUCAGGAUUUCAAGACAUUUUGUCGGUACUGUCCAGCAGCAUCAAGGUUCGCUUGGGUGCCUUUUGGCUUAGCUUAAGACUGUUUUGAGUUCUGUCCUUGGAGCUCAGUGUAGUUCUGGCUACGUCGGCUUUCUUUUGGGGCAAUUUGGGCAUCUGACUCGAGUCAAAAAGGGAUUUGGUUGAUAAGUGGAGUUUGGUUGCUAACUGUUCGACAUAAUUUCAGGGUAAGGGUAAUGAUAGACCAGCGCAUGACAAAAGAGAUCCGUGACCUGGCCAUUAGGACGACUUACUGCUUCCACACUUAGUAUCAUGUUUUGGAGUCUGGUUUAGGAGUUAGGCGUUUUAAACUCUCAUGUAAUAUUUAUUAAUUUUAUUAUUUGACUAUUUAAUUGUUUUCAUUUUAAAGUUUGGUUUAGGGGUACCCCGAACGGUAAAUUUUUAUUUUGUUUUAGUUUAUUUAUUAUUAUUUAUUUAUGUUUUUUUUAUCUUUGCUCAUUUAAGCAUUAAUAAAUAAAAUUUCGGCUAUUUUAUUUAUUUUUUUAGGAAAAAGAAAAUGUACGCUAAGUCUAUGCAUGCAUGAAGUAGCGUCCUAGAAAUAGGUAGGAAAGUAGAGUCGUUACAGUUGGUAUUAGAGCCUAAGUUUUAAGUUCUGUAGACUGACUUAUGUCGUGAGUCUAAUCUGUUCCCUAUGGCCACAAAUGGAUCUUUUGUUAUCUCCAGGUAUGUUAUUUAAAGUCCUUUAGGGAAAUAUAUAUGAAAUCUUACCUAUUGUGUAGUCAUUUGAUAGUUUACCGUGCUAGAGUGUAUUAAAACGUUGCAUGUGGUCACCAGGUAUGGCGCCAUGAACAAGAGGAAAGGGCAGUCGAGGUAAAAAUGUAGUUGGGGAGUGAGAUCUGACCUGCAAGAACCCGAGGUGCAGAGCCAAGAGGUGCGGGACCCGCCACCUCGUGACCCUUCUGGGUCAACUUGGCAGAAGGUUAGACCAAGAAGCGGGCCUCGAGCUUUAACUGUGCCUCCCUAGGAUCAUCAUCCUCAAAAAUUCCAGUAGAAUAUACGACUAUGGCUGUAGCUAUUGGAACGUCAUCACGAAGGCCGUGGCAAUACAGCUAAGGGGCAUGGUGGCCGAGCAAAUAGCUCAGCAUGCACAGUCACAGCAAGCGCCAUCCUCGCUAGUCCCGUUACCACCAGUUCAGAGUCAAGAUAGAGCCACGAAUUGGAUCGUGGCAGGCCCUUCUUUGGAAGUCGGAUACCUACGAGAUUUCAAGAAAAAUGAUCCCCCGAUGUUUAACGGGUCCGUGAAAGACCCCACAAAUGCAAAAUUGUAGUUGUCCACUAUUGAGGGGAUUUUUCAGUACAUGAGGUGUCUAGAGAAGCAGAAGCAGUAGUGUGCCGCUUUCGUUCUCAUCGAUAAUGCCAAGCGCUAGUGGCGCUUGGCUAAGAAAAUGAUAGAAGCGAGUGGAGGGCAAGCCACGUGGGACUAGUUUAAGGAGCAGUUUUACGAGAAGUACUUCUCUGCUCAUGUGAAGUAUAACAAGCAGGCUGAGUUCAUGAACCUGAAGUAGGGGAGUAGAAGAUUAUAAGGAGAAGUUUGACAAAUUGUCUUGCUUCGCCCCUGAUCUAGUGUCUACCGAAGCAAAGAAGGCUGAAAGGUUUGUGCAAGGACUCCAGGAUGGGGUAUGAGGCAUUGUGUAAGCUCUGGAGCCUCACACCUACGUCGCAGCCUUCCAAGCAGCAGCACGCGUAGGUUGUCCUUCAGGGAUAGAGUUCCUGAAGUCCCUGAUGGAGGAACCGACCCCCCGGCCAGAAGAGGAAAUUGAGUAGAAAGCUCCAAGACCUCUGCAGAAGGUCCAAAGUACAAGCAGGUUAGUAAGGCACACUCAACUACAGGCUACUACUUCAGGAGGAGUUUAGAGGGAAAGACCGGUGUGCAAGUCAUGUUGAAAGCGUCAUUGGGGACGCUGUCUGAUUGGCACAAGGACUUGUUUCAGAUGUAAGCAGAUAGAGCAUACGGCAGACCAAUGCCCUAGUAGUGGUUCCAGAAGUAUAGGGGGUCAACCCCCGAGUUCACACCAGGGUAGUUCAAACUGAGAGCAGCAGCAGGGUCGGGUCUAUGCCACCAGUCGCCAAGAAGCUGAGCACUCGGGAAUAGUGGUGACAGGUACGCUCCCAAUUUUGGGGCACUAUGCCUUGGCAUUGUUUGACUUUGGCUCAUCUCACUCUUUCAUUUCUUCGUUGUUCGUAAAGCAUGCUAUGUUAGUUUUGGAACCCUUGGGUUAUGUUUUAUCAGUGUGUACACCGUCAAGAGAGAUUAUGAUAGCAAGUGAAAAGAUAAAAGCGUGUCAAUUGGAAAUAGCAAACCGCACCCUUGAUGUGACUCUGAUAGUGUAAGACAUGCGUGAUUUCGACGUUAUUCUGGGCAUGCAUUGAUUGGCUGCCAACCAUGCUAGUAUAGACUGUUCUCGUAAGUAGGUGACUUUUAACCCCCUCUUGGGAAGCCAGUUUUAAGUUCAAGGGGGCCGGGACGGUAGUUUUGCCCAAGGUGAUUUCCGCGGUAAAGGCUAAGAGGUUGAUUAAUCAAGGUGUCUAGAGUAUUUUGGCUAGCGUAGUUGACACAAGAGAAACUGAGGUUGCACUAACCUCUAAGCCAGUUAUGAGAGAUUAUCCCGAUGUAUUUCCGGAAGAACUUCCAGGAUUGCCUCCACCAAGGGAGACUGAUUUUACAAUCAAACAGGAGCCAGGCACUAUUCCUAUAUCCAAGGCACCGUACAGAAUGGCUCCGGCAUAAUUGAAAGAACUGAAGGUUCAAUUGCAAGAACUGCUUGAUAAAGGGUUCAUACGACCCAAUGUUUCUCCGUGGGGUGCACCAGUGUUGUUUAUGAAGAAAAAGGAUGGGUCGUUACGUUUAUGUAUAGACUACAGGGAGUUGAAUAAGGUGACCAUAAAAAACAAGUACCCACUUCCUAGAAUCGAUGACCUGUUUGACCAGCUACAGGGUGCUACUGUAUUUUCCAAGAUUGACCUACGGUAAGAUUACCAUCAGCUGAGGAUUAGGGACAGUGAUAUCCCGAAGACUGCGUUCUGAUCCAGAUACGGGCAUUACGAGUUCAUUAUGAUGUCUUUUGGUGUGACAAAUGCUCCAACUGUAUUCAUGGAUUUGAUGAACCGGGUGUUUAGGGACUUCCUAGACACUUUUGUAAUAAUUUUCAUUGAUGAUAUUUUGGUCUACUCCAAGACAGAGGAGGAACACGAGGAACAUCUUAGGAAGGUCCUAGGAAUGCUGAGGGAAAACAAACUGUAUGCAAAGUUUUCUAAGUGCAAGUUCUAGCUAUGGAAGGUGUCCUUCCUUGGGCAGUGGUGUCGAAGGAUGGGGUUUCAGUAGAUCCUGCUAAGAUUGAGGCCGUUACCAAUUAGCCCUACCCUGCAAUGGUCAAUGAGUGUGCAACUUCCUGGGAUUGUCUGGGUACUAUCGUAGGUUUGUAAAGAAUUUCUCUAGCAUAGCCACGUCGUUGACUCUGCUAACCAGGAAGGGAGCUUCGUUUGCUUGGAGCAAAGCUUGUGCGGACAGUUUUCAGGACCUCAAGCAGAGGUUGGUUUCAGCCCCGGUUCUCACCGUACCAGACGGCUCCAGGAAUUUUGUGAUCUACAGUGAUGCUUCUAAGAAGAGUUUAGGUUGCGUGCUUAUGUAACAUGGUAAGGUGGUCGCCUAUGCCUCCCACCAGUUGAAAAACCAUGAGCAAAACUAUCCUACCCACGACUUGGAAUUGACAGCAGUGGUGUUUGCUCUGAAGAUCUAGAGGCACUACUUGUAUAAGGAAAAGAUCCAAGUUUUCACCGACCAUAAGAGUCUGAAAUACUUCUUCACCCAGAAAGAGUUAAACAUGAGGCAGCGCAGGUGGCUCGAGUUAGUAAAGGAUUACGACUGCGAGAUCCUCUACCACCCAAAUAAGUCGAAUGUGGCAGUCGAUGCCCUCAGUCGAAAGGUCACCCAUUCGGCUGCCUUGAUCACUAAGGAGGUUCAGUUAUGUAAGGAUCUGAAGUGAGUAGAGAUCGGUGGCAGUGGGGGGGAAAUCACAUCGUAGUUAGCUCAGUUGACAGUGCAACCAACCUUAAGGCAAAGGAUUAUUGUUGCACAACAGGGUGAUCCAAACCUGGUUUAGAAAUUUUGUCAGGUAGGGUCGAGCCAAGCAAGUGAAUUUUCUGUAUCGGUGGACAAGGGUCUUUUGUAUCAGGGAUGGUUAUGUGUCCCAGCAGAUGAUGGCCUGAAAGGGAAUCAUUGACAAAAGCUCUCAACUCUCCAUUUUCGAUGCAACCAAGUAGUACCAAAAUGUACCAAGAUGUGAAGCGAUAUUACUGGUGUAUGAAAAGGGAGAUAGCUGACUAUGUCAGCAGAUGUCUAGUCUGUCAGCAGGUGAAGGCCCCAAGGCAGAAGAUAGCAGGCUUGCUACAGCCAUUGGAUGUGCCAGAAUGGAAAUGGGAGAGCGUGGCUAUGGAUUUUAUUACGAGUUUGCCCAGGACAGCGAAGGGUUUCUCAGUGAUUUGGGUUAUGAUAGACAGACUCACCAAGGUGGCACAUUUUAUUCCAGGAAAGCCCACGUACGCGGUGAGUAAAUGGGUUCAGCUAUAUAUGAAGGAGAUAGUAAGAUUGCAUGGUGUGCCAGUAUCAAUUGUGUCCAACAGGGAUCCUCGUUUCACCUCCAGUUUUUGGAAGAGCCUUCAGGCAGCUUUAGGGUCGUGGUUGAACUUCAGUACAACUUUUAUCCCCCAAACUAAUGGGCAAACAGAACGUUUGAAUCAGACGUUGGAGGACAUGUUGCGCGCUUUUGCGUUGGAAUUCUCAGGAGGGUUGGGACUCCAACUUGCAUUUGGCAGAGUUUGCUUACAAUUAUAGCUAUCAGGCUACCAUUGGCAUAUCGCCGUUUGAAACUCUUUAUGGCAGAGGUUUUAGGUUUCCUGUUUGCUGGGGUGAGAUUAGGGAGAUGAAACUGGUGGGAACUAGUUAGUAGAGUUGACGAAUGAAGUCAUGCAGAAGAUCAGGGCUAGAAUGCUAGCAGUGCAAAGUAGACAGAAAGGUUACGAUGAUGUUAGGUGUAAAGAUCUGAAGUUCGAGGCAGGUGACAAAGUGUUCCUGAGAGUGCCGCCGAUGAAGGGUGUCCUGAGAUUCAGGAAGAAGGGUAAGCUAAGUCCGCGUUUUGUAGAGCCAUUCGAGAUCUUAGAGCGAGUCGGUUCUGUGGCUUACCGUUUGGCCUUGCCACCGUCUCUCUCUGCGGUCCAUAAUGUCUUUCAUGUCUCCAUGCUGAGGAAGUAUUUAAUGAACCCGGCUCAUGUGGUGGACUUUAAGCCCUUGCAGUUGAAUGAAAACUUGAGUUACAAGGAGAAGCCUAUGCAAAUUGUGGCCAGAGAGGUGAAAGUUUUGUGUAGUAAAGAGGUGCCACUAGUGAAGGUUCUGUGGCGGAACCAUCAGCUUGAGGAUGCAACUUGGGAGCGAGAGGACGAGAUGAGAGCAUUGCAUCCAGAGCUCUUCCAGGAUUAGAACUUUCAAGGACGAAAGUUUAUUAAAGAGGGAAGAGUGUGACGGCCCAAGGAUUGAUGCAUAUUUAUGUUUUUUUUAAAAAAAAGGGGGUUAAUAGUUAAAUUAAAAGAGAGAAGAGGAAUUAGGUUGUAAAUGAGGGUAGGGGACCUCGGGUUGCGUGCCAGAGGAAAGAAAUUUUUUUUUUUUUUUUUCUUUUCCUCUUCCUCUUUCCAGACUCCGAAAUGCUACCCUUCACAGUGCUCGUCCGCCGUCGCCUCCUCGUGCCUCACCUUCGUCCGUCGUCCGCCGCUCGACCGUAGGUCUCAGUCUUCUAGCUGUGCAAGGUUUCAGUCGUUUCAGCUGCGUGAAGCGUCGUCCGCCUCCAGCCGCGUCGAGUUUCUUCGAUUUUUCUUUUCUAUCUUCCGUUUCCAUUCUGCGUCCACCAGUCGCCGAACGUUUCGGUUCCGCCAAGAACGUGGUUUUGAUGAGAUUUAAGUUUUUUGGUUUCUAGUUAAUGGGUUCUAAAUGGCUACCGAUUUUUUGUCUGAUUUCAGUUAAUUCAGAGUGCGCUGUUGCUCAAUUCCGGAUUUCAAGACAUUUUGUCGGUACUGUCCAGCAGUAUGAAGUUUCGCUUGGGCGCCUUUUGGCUUGUCUUAAGACUGUUUUGGAUUCCGUCCUUGGAGCUUAGUGUAGUUCUAGUUACGUCGACUUUCUUUUGGGACAAUUCGAGCAUCUGAUUCGAGUCAAAGAGGGAUUUUGUUGAUAAGUGGAGUUUGAUUGCUAACUGUUCGACAUAAUUUCGAGGUAAGGGUAAUGAUAGACCGGCGCAUGGCAAAAAAGAUCUGUGACCUGGCCAUCAGGACGACUUACUGCUUCCGCAUUUAGUAUCAUGUUUUGGAGUCUGGUUUAGGAGUUAGGCGUUUUAAACUCUCAUGCAAUAUUCAUUAAUUUUAUUAUUUGACUAUU